rnacentral:rRNA from 1 species
GAUGAACGCUGGCGGCGUGCCUAACACAUGCAAGUCGAACGUUAGAGCGUAGCAAUAUGCUCAAAAGUGGCGAACGGGUGAGUAACACGUAGGUGACCUGCCGCGCAGAGGGGGAUAACGACUGGAAACGGUCGCUAAUACCGCAUGGUACCAACUUGAUGGGAAGAAGGUUGGUUAAAACUAUGGUGCUGCGCGAGGGGCCUGCGUCCGAUUAGUUAGUUGGUGAGGUAACGGCUCACCAAGACGAUGAUCGGUAGCUGGUCUGAGAGGAUGAUCAGUCACACGGGAACUGAGACACGGUCCCGACUCCUACGGGAGGCAG